rnacentral:rRNA from 1 species
AUUGAACGCUGGCGGCAGGCCUAACACAUGCAAGUCGAGCGAGCGGCGGACGGGUGCGUAAUGUAUGGGGACUUCCCGAUAGUGGGGGAGAACGACUGGAAACGGUAACUAAACCAGCAUACUGUCGGAUCAUCCAUAUGCGAUUAGCUAGUAGGGGAGGUAAUGGCCCACCUAGGCGACGAUCCCUAGCUGGUCUGAGAGGAUGAUCAGCCACACGGGGACUGAGACACGGCCCAGACUCCUACGGAGGCAGCAGUGGGGAAUAUUGCACAAUGGGCGAAAGCCUGAUGCAGCCAUGCCGCGUGUAUGAAGAAGGCCCUAGGGUUGUAAAGUACUUUCAGUCGGGAGGCGUUACCGACAGAAGAAGCACCGGCUAACUCCGUGCCAGCAGCCGCGGUAAUUC